GAAUAGUGGAUGAAGCCCACACUAAAAUGUAAGUGGUACAGUAAAUGGACCCCCCUCCCCCCUCCCUUUUGACACACAACAGUUGGGAGGAAGGGGGGGGGGGGAGAAAGUGUGGCUUGUAGUUCUAUUGCUACAAAUGGGACAAAGAUAGUUAGUGUGCCAUUUAAAACGUUAACUGUUAAACUGGUGGUACAGGUAUGAACCAAGUAACAUCGCUAUGCAAAUAACUUUUUAGUAAUAUUUACUGUUCACAUGACAGGUUGUGGAAGGUCCUGGCAACAGAGCUGCAGGAAAAUACUUGCAGAUCUACAGUGAAAGUGAUUAUGAUGCAUGGACUGGCUUGGAGUGAGGCUCCUUUACUUUGCAAAAGUGGGUGAUUGUCUCUGGAGUUGUCUUAGCCUUUUGGAUCUUCUG